AUUUUUACUUUUUUUUUAUGUUUUAUCUUGAGAGUGAUAGAGUGGAUUUUAAAUUGCUGAUAAGAACUAUUUUAAAUACUAAAAUUAUUCUGAUCCGUUUAGCGGAUUUCGAGCGCAGGUAAGAAAACCGUGUUUAUCUUUUUUUGGGGGGUCGAUUUUUAUUCUUUGUUUUCUAUCGAUAUCUUAAACUCGAGCAUAAGACAAGUGUCGUCUGCUGUCGUCUUUGUUUUGCCAUUUUCCGAUUUAUUUUCGAAAUAAAGACCAGUUAAAGAUUCCAAAGAAAACGAAACAAUAAUUUUUUGGGAAACGUAACGUGUCUGUUGCUACACGAAAAAUAGCACAAAAAAAAUGAAAUUUCAAAAAUGUGGCCGUCGUGUGGAUUCCGAUGUCUCUUCAUAGAAUAGCUUAAUACACACUUCAUGUUGUGGUGCUCAGAUUCAAGGACAGAGCCAGCCAUCUUAAUCACUUGUUAUGCCAAUUUUGCUUGUGCCGGUGUUGUCUAUGUCUUCAGCAGCGAUCUCAUCACUAUCAUCAGUAACUUGGCAUUUUGAUUGGAGAAACUACCGAUGUUGGUCGAGUUCUUCCUCUAUCUCUAAGUCCCUUUUGUCCUCGUGUACAUCCAUGUGAAUGUGGUUGUAUUCACGAGGACCCCCUUUUUCCCAUCCCGCCUCGUGGAUUCUGUGGAUGGAGUGCCUGGAGAUGCCUGGCUGUAUUUCCCAGGCUUAAAGGUCAUAAUGGGGAUACCAUAUUUCAGAUAAAUCAGUCCAAUAACCACUGUCCAUCCACCAGCAAUAACCAAGACUGCCCAUCUUCAAAUCACGAUUCAUCAACAAGUACACCUUCGCUGAGUUUUCAAAUUCGAAUCGGAGAACCCGAAGAAGGCACAAGUGGGCCAGAACCACCAUUGGGUACUGUCAUCCGUAGAGGUAUAUCAGUGAUUGGCCAAGACCAACUGAUGGCCACGCCUAGUACCAGUAAAAACUACGAGGGUGUGACUAGCGAGCCAAACAGGGUUGUAAAUGGUGUGGUUCCGCAUGCACCCGAAAUGUUACACUCGGAAGAUCCAAAUGAAGAUGAAGAGAUUGGCGUUCCAAAAUGUUUUUAGUUGCUAUAGUCAGGCAGCAGAAAAAGAAAUUCUUGUCAUGUUGGAUGCUGACACACUAAAACAUUGUUUGGACCACCUCCGCAAGUCCCCGUUGCUUAUUUGCAGUUUUUGUCAUGAACUCUUUGAAGACAUAUCGCCCUUUCAAGUGCACAUUCAGACCUGCUGCUCUCCGCCAGGAGUUGAAGUUAAGCAAAAAAUGGAUCAAGCUGCCAUGGAUCAGCUUACCCGCUCCUUGUGGAAAUCUGUUUUCUUAAAAGAAUUACAGAAUACGCCAAUCGGGCAAAAUUUAAGUAAAUUGCAUUACUAUUUUUCCCUAAGAAUGUGCUUCAUAAUUUUAUUUUCCCCUUUUGUUUUCAAGAGCAACACGAAGGACACUUGCAUAACGAACUAAAUCAGAUUUGGUUAUCUGGGUCUUUUGAGCCCAUGCUUAAAUGUCGGGAAAUUUUUAUUCGAGCUGCUGUAGCCAUAGUCUCUCGUAGGUGGGUUACGAACGCUGUCGCCAACGAACUUCAUCGUGUCAGAGCAAUUAAACCUAAGUAACCGAAAAAGCGUGUCAAGAUUGAUUCUGACACGGAUCAGUCAGUCGCAGAUCCAAAUUCAUCCAAAUCUGAAAAAUCAUCUGUCUGGAAGAAGAGAAAGAUUUGUGGCAGGCCAAACAGUAAGAAUGAUCUUGCCAUCCGAGGACUUCUCAAUGAUCAGGAUGAGACGAGCAGCAACACUACUCAGUAUUACUUAACUCCGGAAACGCCCGUGUCCGACCAUGGAAUAGACGUGAUGCCAGUGUUGCCUCCCAGUGUGGAUGCGACAGAACAGUCCCGCCUAACAAACAGUAGAGAAGACUCCGUUACGACACCCAUAACAUACAGUGGAGUAGAUUUUACACCCGAAAUGGAUUACGAAUUGGACCGUUUAGUCAGAGGAGUGCCUGAUGUUGACUUACUCGCAGAAGCCGCCAAAGGUUUUGAAAAUCUUGAUAACGCAUCUGACGCGUGGGAAAAUAAUACCACUGCGGAUGAACCGUUAAGCGAAAACGAGUUUGUUGUUGGCAAGAUCUUAGAUCGUCGGUUGCUUUACAAAGUUGAAGAUUUCAAUCCACUAGAAGAAGAUUACGCGUACCUCGUUUCAUGGGAAGGUUACGGUGAAGAAGACAACACCUGGGAACCUUACGAACAUCUAAACGGGACCCCUUCCCCAUCUUUCUUUCUCUCAGACAUGUUGAUGACGAAAAUGAUAGCGAGAAUGUCCGGGCCGAUCUGAUAGUUGGCGCUCCGUUUUACUACGACCGAGAAGCGGGCGAAGCCGUCUACGUCUAUUCCAACCCGCCCGACGGUGGUCUGACGGCCGAUACGACCUACGUCAAGCUCGUAGGCAAACCUGAAUCAAGAUUUGGACUUUCCUUCUUUUUGUGUGUGUGGUUACAGCGUCGUUACAUUCAGAUUCUUCACGGUGACGUGUUACUCGAGUGCAUCAACUUGUCGGAGGCCCAGGGAGAGUGGAAGGACAUAAGACGGGGACCCAACAUGUUGUUCGUCGUUUCCAGUAGCAAGGAAAGCAGCCGCAAAUUUCGUAUUCGCUUUCAACCAAACAACCAGGAAGAACCGACGACCGUGGCCUACGCCUGCGCCUGUUACCUGUCCCGCUUUUUCAAUUUGCACGACGCCGAUCGACAAGGUCAAGACGACGACCAUCCACCUUCUUGCACCAUCUCGAUCGAGUAGUUGUCCAUCGCCGUUUUGGAUCCUCAAAAUUCCAAAUGGCCUUCGGAUUAUGCGGAUAUUGGUGAGUCUCCCGAACUUGUGCCGGACCUCCUACGUUCUUGCCUAAUGGAUCCUAAUUUCCCCGCUCUGGUCGAGGCUGUGGAAAGUUCGCUGAAGAAGUUGAUGAACUCGGAGAAUUCGAGUCAAAAUCAAAUUUUUUUCACCCUUUUUCUUAAUGUCAUUUAUAACCAGGCAAUCGUAAUUUUUUUAACACUGUAAUAUUUAAAUGAAUCGUUGGUUUUUUCAUACACAAGAUGGGUUUUCUA